rnacentral:misc_RNA from 1 species
AAGAAUUUCAUGCGAUUUUGGAGGUAUUUUAUUGGAUAGAAACCUAUUUUACAUCAGUUUAUGGUAGGUAUGAGGAUACCAUCAUAACUUCUGUUCUGUAAAAAGAAAGCGUGUUAUCUUGCAUUAUAAUUUCAGUUGAAAGAUAUCUUAGCUGGUAAUGACUGUUGAGUUUUAUCCCUUGCUGUCAGAGGUUAUGGUAUCCCCUUCAAGUGGAAGAUUGUUUUAGACUUACUUGAUUGUAUAGUUUCACUCACUUUCUUGAUUGUAGAAAAGAGAAAAAAUAACAAGGAGAUAUAACAUAUGCUGUCUCUUAAUUUGCCAUGUGUAUUGCUGUAGAAAAUUUCAACCAAUAUAGUUAUUGUCAAUAUGUUCUACUAAAAUGCAACUUGUGUUAUAAGGAAAUGCAGUUAAGGUGGUUAUAUUUUAGUCUGCAUUAGAUGGACCUGAAUUUAGGUCAGAUAUGUAGUUUGAUACUGAGGGCUUUGUUUCAAGGGGUGCUCUACUGAUGGGAAGCAUGGCAUGCUUUUAUUAGGACCAUAGGUUGCUGAUUUAUAUUAUUGUUUUUCUUUUCUUAUAGACUCACUUUUAGAAAUCGGGAAAAAAUGGCAAAAAAAAUUUUAAUUAAUAACAAAAAGAUCCUGUUGAUUUUCUGUCCUGUUAUUAUACCUGACAGCUGUAAAUAUAGGUAUGCUAACAUCUAAUGGAAACUUG